GGAUCAUUAUAGAGUUAUCACAACUCCAAACCCAUGUGAACAUACCUAUUGUUGCCUCGGCAGGUCGCGGACUGCCGGGAAAAGGCCCUUACCCCCUAGCCCGGGAGGCCUACCCGGGAGCUGUGGUCAAGCCUGCCGAUGGCCCGCAAAACUCUGGUUAGCAUUGAAAUUCUGAAUCAUAACUAAAUAAGUUAAAACUUUCAACAACGGAUCUCUUGGUUCUGGCAUCGAUGAAGAACGCAGCGAAAUGCGAUAAGUAAUGUGAAUUGCAGAAUUCAGUGAAUCAUCGAAUCUUUGAACGCACAUUGCGCCCAUUAGUAUUCUAGUGGGCAUGCCUGUUCGAGCGUCAUUUCAACCCUUAAGCCCUUGUUGCUUAGUGUUGGGAGAUUACGCCCUUGGCGUAGCUCCUCAAAGUUAGUGGCAGAGUCAGUUCAAACUCUAGGUGUAGUAAAUUUCUUCUCGCCUCUGUAGUCGGUCUGCCCCUCGCCGUAAAACACCCCAAAUUUUAAAGGUUGACCUCGGAUCAGGUAGGAAUACCCGCUGAACUUAAGCAUAUCAAUAAGCGGAGGAAAAGAAACCAACAGGGAUUGCCCUAGUAACGGCGAGUGAAGCGGCAACAGCUCAAAUUUGAAAUCUGGCCUUCGGGUCCGAGUUGUAAUUUGUAGAGGAUGCUUUUGGCGCGGUGCCUUCCGAGUUCCCUGGAACGGGACGCCUUAGAGGGUGAGAGCCCCGUACGGUUGGACACCAAGCCUCUGUAAAGCUCCUUCGACGAGUCGAGUAGUUUGGGAAUGCUGCUCUAAAUGGGAGGUAAAUUUCUUCUAAAGCUAAAUAUUGGCCAGAGACCGAUAGCGCACAAGUAGAGUGAUCGAAAGAUGAAAAGCACUUUGAAAAGAGGGUUAAAUAGCACGUGAAAUUGUUGAAAGGGAAGCGUUUACGACCAGACCUUUUCCUGGUGGAUCAUCCGGUGUUCUCACCGGUGCACUUUGCUAGGUUGAGGCCAGCAUCGGUUUCUGUAGGGGGAUAAAAGCUUGGGGAAUGUAGCUCCUUCGGGAGUGUUAUAGCCCCUUGCAUAAUACCCUUACGGGGACCGAGGACCGCG
rnacentral:rRNA from 1 species